AGAGUUUGAUCCUGGCUCAGGAUGAACGCUGGCGGCGUGCCUAAUACAUGCAAGUCGAACGAAGAUCUAGCUUGCUAGAUCUUAGUGGCGAACGGGUGAGUAAUACAUAAAUAAUCUGCCCAUUGGACUGGGAUAACUAUUGGAAACGAUAGCUAAUACCGGAUAGGUGAUUUGAAGGCAUCUUCGAAUCAUUAAAGUAGGGUCACUACACCAAUGGAUGAGUUUAUGGCGCAUUAGUUAGUUGGCGGGGUAACGGCCCACCCAGACGAUGAUGCGUAGCCGACCUGAGAGGGUGACCGGCCACACUGGGACUGAGACACGGCCCAGACUCCUACGGGAGGCAGCAGUAGGGAAUUUUCGGCAAUGGGCGCAAGCCUGACCGAGCAACGCCGCGUGAGUGAUUAAGGCCUUCGGGUUGUAAAGCUCUGUUGUAAGGGAAGAACAUUCAGGAUAGGAAAUGAUCUUGAACUGACGGUACCUUACCAGAAAGCCACGGCUAACUACGUGCCAGCAGCCGCGGUAAUACGUAGGUGGCAAGCGUUAUCCGGAAUUAUUGGGCGUAAAGGGUGCGUAGGCGGUUUAUUAAGUCUAUGGUGAAAGUGCGGGGCUCAACCCCGUAUGGCCAUAGAAACUGAUAGACUUGAGUGCAGGAGAGGGCAAUGGAAUUCCAUGUGUAGCGGUAAAAUGCGUAGAUAUAUGGAGGAACACCAGUGGCGAAGGCGGUUGCCUGGCCUGUAACUGACGCUGAGGCACGAAAGCGUGGGGAGCAAAUAGGAUUAGAUACCCUAGUAGUCCACGCUGUGAACGAUGAAUACUAAGUGUUGGAGAAAUUCAGUGCUGCAGUUAACGCAAUAAGUAUUCCGCCUGGGGAGUAUGCACGCAAGUGUGAAACUCAAAGGAAUUGACGGGACCCCGCACAAGCGGUGGAUUAUGUUGUUUAAUUCGAAGAUACGCGAAGAACCUUACCAAGGCUUGACAUGUAAGGAACCUUGCAGAAAUGUAGGGGUGCUAGCUUGCUAGAACCUUAACACAGGUGCUGCAUGGCCGUCGUCAGCUCGUGUCGUGAGAUGUUGGGUUAAGUCCCGCAACGAGCGCAACCCUCGUCCUUAGUUGCCAGCGGUUCGGCCGGGAACUCUAAGGAGACUGCCUGCGUAAGCGGGAGGAAGGUGGGGAUGAUGUCAGGUCAUCACGGCCCUUAUGCCUUGGGCAACACACGUGCUACAAUGGGAUAUACAGAAAGUCGCAAUACCGCGAGGUGGAGCCAAUCUCUAAAAUAUCUCUCAGUUCGGAUUGUAGUCUGCAACUCGACUACAUGAAGUCGGAAUCGCUAGUAAUCGUAGAUCAGCUAUGCUACGGUGAAUACGUUCCCGGGUCUUGUACUCACCGCCCGUCACACCAUGGGAGUUGAUAUUGCCUUAAGUCGGAAUGCUAACCGUAAGGAGGCUACCGCCCACGGCUGUAUCAGCGACUGGGGUGAAGUCGUAACAAGGUAACCAAGGGCGAA
rnacentral:rRNA from 1 species